rnacentral:misc_RNA from 1 species
AAAGUCGUAACAAGGUUUCCGUAGGUGAACCUGCGGAAGGAUCAUCACUGAAAGAAGUGUUUUUAUUUUGUGUGGAACUGCUUUUUCUUAGUUUGACCAACAACAAAACCAAUGAGAAACAACUUUUAACAAUGGAUCUCUUGGCUCUC